GUAUUGAUCGUUUUCAACAUUUGUAGCUACGUGACUAUGCUUCUAGAAAUUUCUUGACACGUCAUCGUUGAGCGGGCAAUACGAACACUAUAUAGUGCACUACCAUCGGCCAUCUUUCAUUUGUUCAUUGCUGUCGAUGUGGUGAGGUUGUUUGUUCAUUUAACCAAUCUCUUGAAGACAGCUUAUUAUGGCAGUAAUUCCUGAAUUACUUUAUUUUUCUUCAAUGUGUUAUUUGUAUUGCAGCGUAGUUUUUUUAAACUAUGACUAUGGCAACGAAAACUUAUAUAUAAACCAUCUGUCGCCAUGUCAUUUUCAAUAUCAAUUUGGUUAGAUAAUGAAAAAAAUUCUAUAUCAUGAUCAUGAAAUAUUAAUGGCCUGUAUGUUUCUGAACUUAUUCAAACGGGAGGUAUUACUUAAUCAAUUCUACUAUUUAAAUAAGUAUUAUAAUCAAGAUACUGUGUCGAGUAAGCAUAAGAGGAGUGAGGGUUAUCAUGACACAAUAACUUGACCAUUAUAUGAUUGGUUAAAAUAUUGUGAUUUCAUCAACAUGUAUGCCAUAUUUACUAUUCAAACAUCAUUUCUACUUAAGUACAAGACAAUUUUCCUCCAAAAUUAGACCCUGCUUUUGUCAAAUAAGUCUUGGAUAUAUUAGGAGGUUAUUUAUCAUCAUUAUUAAUAUUAGAUAUACAUGCAAAAUUGAAGACCAAAUAUUUUGUUUGAACAUUCUACUAUUGAAAGUUGACUUUAGGAUGAAAAGUUAUGACUUAUCAGCCGCUUUAAGGAGUUGGAGUUUAUUUUAACUAAUGGCUGGCGCAAAAGUGGAAGUAAAUUAAUGGAAAUUAAAAUUAUUAGACACAAUUGGACGUUUUUCUAUGUCUUAAAGUAUAUUAGCAUUCAGUUGAUGAGUUAGCAGGUGAUUGAUCCGUGUGAAAAUCCAUCAGAGUUGCUGAAUAAUUACAUGAUUUGAAUUAUUAGUUAUAUAAGUAAUACCGUUUUUGUAGGCUAUCCACAUAAUUAAUGUAUUUUUUUUUUAAUGCGCUAUAAAUCUAUUUAUAUUUAAAUUUGGAUAUACCAAUUGGUAUUUUUUUAAUAAGAGCAAAAUGUGUACCUGCUACUAUUAUUGUACAUUACUAAAAUUCUUUGAGAGCUUAUUAUAAACAUAUCUGAUUAAAAUGUGAUUAUUAUGAUGGUUAGUACUGUCUAAUAAGAUCGUAUCUGUUUGAUUAUAUAAAAUGUGUUAUCCAUUUAUUUUCAUUUGCAUAUUGUUUUAUGUAAUUAGCAAUAGCUUGUAGUAUCAAAAUAUCAUAUUUAAAGUCUUGGUGUGCAGUUUUCUUAUAAAGAUCUUUUUUGUUAUAAAAGUUAUAGAUUUCAUAGUAGUAAUACCAGUAAUAAAAAACAACUGAAUCUUAUAAAUCAAUAUUUUCUAUGACUAAUUUAUAAAGAAGUAUUUAUUAUAUUUAUUUUUAAUAAAUCGUAAAACUGUAUAUCUAACAAAGUAUUAUAGGAUUGAUAUGAAUAAAAAACAAUUCAAUUUUUUAUUUAAUUAAACUCUUACAUUUUUUCAUCCAUUUUUAGCUAAUUACAUGUAAAAAAUAAAUCAUAGAAUUAAGAAAUUGCAGUGUUAUCUGUUUGAUUUCAGUGUGGGUUUAGAAUAAAAAUGGUCAAUUCUAUAAUCUCAGUAAGUUUUAUUAUAGGUCUGCAAAAUUUGUUUUUUUAUACCAUUAUCACUUAUGUGAUCUCAAAAGUUACUUGUUUAAUGAGUUUAUAAGAUUGAUGAUUAUCUAGGUAGGUACUAAAUACAUUAUUUUAAUAAUUAAUAGAAUUGUGUUUUACUAUUAAUAUACAUGUAUAUUAAUAAAAAUGUAUAGAUAAUACUAAGUUAUUUUCAUUUGAUAUUCUUGUUUACAUGUUAAAUUUUUGAUUUUAUGAACAUGUAUGUAACAAAUUAAUGAAAUGGUAUUGUUUCUUGAGUGUCUCAAAUUAAAUGGUUGAGAGUUAAAAAAACUUAAAGUAAUUUGAGGAAAAUUUAUCACUAAUUAUUAGUAUUAUUUGUUGCAAGUUAGUAAAUUUAAACUUAAAAUAAUGGAUUGAUUUUUAUUUAUCCAAAUUUUAACACUUUUGAUAUCCUUCAAUGUUAUUUAUAAAUACUGAGAGACCAUUAAAUAAAUUGUAAAUCACAGUUGUUUUAAAAGUAAAACUUCAUGUAUAGGCAUAAAGAGUUAAAUAUAGUAAGCUAAGUUACAAACUAUUAAACAAAUAGUACUAUUGAAAAUUUCAUGUUAUAUAUCACUUGCAUUUGGUUACUAAUUACCUAAAAUUUAUGGGAUUUUGUUCAUUAUAGAAAGUAAAUUUAAGUUAUUUAUUAGUACAAUUAUUGAAAAAUUAAAAAAUCAGAUAUAUUUUUUUAUUACUUAAUAAAUAUUAUCUGUUAAUAUGAUACAAUAAAAAAUUGAAAUAACGAAAUUAUUUUUUAAAUUUUGUUACCAAAGUACAUAGUUUGGUAAAAAAUUAAAGUGUUCAUUAGUAGUGUUACAUCAUGGUUUUGGUUGUUAAUAAAUAAUUAGUCUUAGUAAGGGUUUUUCCUUUUUUGUGUGUAUGAUUUGUUUAAUAUAUAUUUAUUUAUUUAAAUGUAGAUAGGGUGACAGAUUAUAUAUGAAAAUAUGAUCAUAAAAUGUUUUUGGCUUGGAUGUGUGGUCAUUAUUAUAUUUCACUGGAUAUUUUUUGGCUCAUAGUUUUAAAAUUGGAUAAUAAGUUUUUUUAUCAUAUUGAUUUUUUUUUAUUUAGGUGUUUGUCUUAGAAUUUUCGAUAUAAACAAUUGACACUAUUGAAAUUACAUUUUCAAUAUCAACAUUGUAACUUUUAUUCUCAAAUACAUCUAAGAUAAUAUAUUAAAUUGUAUAUGUGAUAUGAUAAUAUAUUUGUAUUAUUAAAUGCAAGUUUCUUUAAUGAAUUAAAAUUUGUUUUAAAAAAACAAAUGAAAAGUAAAAUGACUUUUAAUACAUUCAUUUUUUGUAAACAUUUUCUGUUUUUAAAAUUGUUAAUUGAAUAAAGUACAAUAUAUUAAGUUUUGCUUCUCGAAAUUUAAAAAGACAAAACAUUUAAUUUUUCAAAAAAUAGCAUUAAAUUUAUUUUAGUUGAUUUAUUUAUUAAGAAUGUUAUCAAUAAUAUUGUUUUUCAUGCAGUAAAAUAUAGCAGCCCACGUGUCAAAUGCAAAAAAUGUAAUGAGAAACAUAGUAGUUCGGGUUCUAUCCCAACCAAUUAGGUUAACUUCCCAUUUUUUCUCACUUUUUUCUAAAUUUAUAGUUAUCUUGCUAUUUUCUUCUAAUUUAUAAUCAUCUACUGUUGAAUUAUUUUGUGUCUGUGACUCUGUCCCCUAUACAAUAAAAAAAACAUAUUUCUUAAUAUUUGUUUUUAUAUUAUUUAGUAAUGAGUAAUUCAGUUGUAAUAGUAAUUGUUCAGAAACUAGUUAAACUCAGUUUUUUCAAUUAUUUUGUUAUUUAUUUUUAAUUGUAAUUAUGUGUAUUAAUGAGAAUAAAACUUGUUUAAAUAGUAUUAAAAUUGAACCACAUUAAUAGAAAAUAUUUAAUUAGACCUGAUUAGAAAUACUAACGAGUUAAUUUUUUUAAGAAUACAUGAGAAUGUUGAAAAAAGCUAUUUUUGUCCGAAUAUAAGUUAUCUUAAAAUAGUCAUGAAUAGUAUAGAAAUUAUGAAAUAAGUUAUAAAAAAACAAUCCAUCAGUAACAGCUUUGCGUUGAAGUUUAAAUGAUUGUAGAAAAAUUAGAAUAUUAUAGUUUGUAUUGGUUAUCAAUAUAAAUAUAGAUACUAAUUCUUUUUAAGUUAAAAAAUUAGUCUUUUUGUUCUAAUCUCAAACUUUUAUUAAAAUUUAUUGAUCCUAACUCCUCAUAACUAGAAUAUUUUAUACUUUACAAAUUUAUUUCAGUUGUUUUACUUGUGUUCAUUUUUUUUUGAACAUUGUCCUCAUUGUGUGAUAUUUAAAAAGAUAAGUUUACAAUAAAUAAAAUACACCAUUUAUAAUAUAUUUAUCUCUAAUCAUAAAUGCAAAUAGUAAAACAAAUUUUGAGGGUGUUAAAUGUAAUUUUCCCCAAUUUAAAUAUUUUUAUACAACUACAAUUAUAAUUUUACUUAAUUCUUGGGAGUGCUGUGCACAUUAAUCAUCUUUAGCAUUUGUAUCAAUGCUACUAAUAAAUUAAUAUACAUUGAUUUUAUCUGAAAUUUUUGGUAUAUAUCUAUUUAACAAAUUUAUAAAAGUAGAUACACAAUUCCUUUUUUUUUUAAUACUGUUUCAGCUUCAGAAAAUAUUAAGUUAAUGCUUACAAUUUCUAUUUUCUAACUUAGAUAAAAACCUGUAAGUUAUAAGAAAUUGUGUAUUAAGUAGUAUGUUUUAUUAUUUCAACUUGAAUAGAAUGGGCGCAUAUAGUUUUAAGGUUAUAUUUUCUAUUUGAAUAGUUUCAUCAGUUUUUUUUUCAAAUUUAACUUUUUACAUUUAUAUAAUGAUAUUUUCUGAAAAUGCGAAUAAUUUAAUUAGAAAAAAUUUUGAUGAUUCAUAAAAGCUUAGUUUUAUUUUAUGAUUAAUAUGUUAUGCACUCACAUUACUGAGGUUUACCUUGUUGUCAGUUACAUUUUCAUUUUCUGUUGAAUCUGUUGGUAAUAUAUCAUCGAAAGCUUCAUUUAUAUAUCCUUUUGGUGAAAUAAAAAAUGUGUCUUCUGUAUUAUCAUUUAUAUCUUUUGAAGUGCUAGGUUUAUUUUCUUGCAUCUUUUGAUAAUAAAAUUUAAAAAAAUUACUUUUAUUGAUGAAAAAAGAACAUUCUAUUAUUUUAUCAAACUUCGUAUGAUAUUAUUUAUUAGGUAGGAAUUGAGGCUUAUGUAUAGUUAGUAAUUUAAUUAAAGUAUACAUAUUAUAUAGCUAAUACUACUACAUUUAAAUUAUAGUAUGAAUUAGUUUAAUGUUAUUGUAUUAAAUGAUAUAUAAAAUAAUUUAAAUGUAGCAGUAUGAAUAACAGUUAUUUUUUACAUAAAUUAAUGCACUAUAGUAAAUGCUGUUUUCAUAAUUAAAAACUACAUUGUUAAUACACAAAUAUUAAAUAUGUUGGUAUAGGAUAAUAUUUCUUUACCUGAGGUAUAGAAAUCUACUGUAUUAAAAAUAUGAUGUCAAAUAAGUUUUUUUAUUUUCAAAUAACUGUUGUAGUAAAACCUAGGUAUCUUGGUAAUAUCAUCUGAGUUACACCUUAAAAAAAACUCUCAUCUUACUGAAAGUUUUAAAUAAUGUUGCUAACAUACUUUUAUAGUAGUUAUUUAAAAAUGAAAAAUUUUUUUAUUUCUGUAGUUAUGUCCCAGACCAAGUUUUGUACUUAUAUUUUAUGUUGUUACUUUCAGUGAACGAUUUAGUUACCAAUUACUUAAUCUUACUUUUCUAAUUAAUUCUUCAUUAGAGUUUUUAAAUCCUUCAUUGACAUAUCCUUCUUCAUUAUUGUUUACUGUAGUAAUAUUAUUUCCUGGUAUUACGAUUUCAUUAAGGUUCUUAGUGUCAAUUUGCAACUCUUUUUUUUCCUAAAAUAACAUUUUUCAAUGUGAUUUUGUAAUUACAUUUUAAAUAUAUAUUUAAAUAUAUUUGAGAGAAUCAAUAAAUAUUUUUUAUUAAUUUUUGUUUUUCUUGUAGCAGUUAGUAUAUAUAUAAUGCUGAAUUCUUACCAUAUUUGGAUGAUAUUUAUUUUGAAUGUCUUAAUUUAUACAAUUUUUUUGUUAAUUAAAUUUGAUGGUCAUUAAAAAUUAAAUUGAUGUUCAUUAAAAAUUUCUCGUUACUAGUGUAUUAUUUUCUAACAUAAUUACUAACUUCAGAAAAUUUUAUUUUAGAAGUGUAAGUCUUUUAUCUAAUAUUUGUUUUAGUAUUUAUCUAUUUAAGUACUUAACUAUAGAUAACUAGUUCAGUAUUCUGUAAACAAUGAAUUCAUUGAUUUCUUGAAAAUAAAUGUUGAUUAAUGUUUUUAUAGAUUAUUUUUUAUAUUUGUUAAAUUAUUUAUUUCUUCAUUGAAAGGUAUUGAAUUUUGUAAAGAAUAAAAUUUCAUUGUAGAGUAUUAUUUAUGAAUUCAUAAAACACUGUCUUAUAAUAGUAAACUGAUAAUAUUUGAAAAAUUGAAGAAAAUAGUGUAUCAGAGUUAAAUUUGCAUAAAAAGUCUUUUAGUAAAACCAAAAUAAAAAUGGUAGUGUAAAAUAUUGUUCUUAUAGUUAAUAUAUAUGCUUGUUCAGUCAAGUUUUUUUGCUAUAUUUGGUACAAAUUUUUAAAAUGUAACGUAUGUAGAGCUUUUAUUUUAUAAACUAGUUUCACUGGUCAAGUGAAUCAAUAGUGGGAUGAUUGUAAAAGGUUAUUUCAUUUUAUGGGAUAAAUGAAUAAAUAUUUUAACCAAUUUCCUAUUAAUUAAUUUUUUUCUUUUGUUAAUUCAAUAUUCUUUGAUCAUGUGAUUUAAUUGUGAAUCAUUAGGCUUAAUCUUCAUAGUUAACUAAUAUUUUCCAAUAAAUAAAUCUGAUUGAAAUUAGUGAUGAUUUUUGUUAUUGUUAACAUAUGUUGUAUAAAAUUAAUGGUUAUUUACUUCCAAAUAUAUCUAAUAGUUGAAUUAUAAUCGGUGAAAAUUAAACAAAGCGUGUGCAGUCUCAAUAUUAAAAUCAAUUUUUCGAUAGUAACAAUGUAUAUUGGAAAUGAUAUAUUUUUUUUAGAUUAAAUAUUUUAUUAUUUGCUAAGUUAUUUAAAUAGUC